GUACCUUGCUACUUUGCCGGCGAGCGGCGGACGGGUUAGUAAUGUCUGGGAAACUGCCUGAUGGAGGGGGAUAACUACUGGAAACGGUAGCUAAUACCGCAUAACGUCGCAAGACCAAAGAGGGGGACCUUCGGGCCUCUUGCCAUCAGAUGUGCCCAGAUGGGAUUAGCUAGUAGGUGGGGUAACGGCUCACCUAGGCCACGAUCCCUAGCUGGUCUGAGAGGAUGACCAGCCACACUGGAACUGAGACACGGUCCAGACUCCUACGGGAGGCAGCAGUGGGGAAUAUUGCACAAUGGGCGCAAGCCUGAUGCAGCCAUGCCGCGUGUAUGAAGAAGGCCUUCGGGUUGUAAAGUACUUUCAGCGGGGAGGAAGGUGUUGAGGUUAAUAACCUCAGCUAUUGACGUUACCCGCAGAAGAAGCACCGGCUAACUCCGUGCCAGCAGCCGCGGUAAUACGGAGGGUGCAAGCGUUAAUCGGAAUUACUGGGCGUAAAGCGCACGCAGGCGGUCUGUCAAGUCAGAUGUGAAAUCCCCGGGCUCAACCUGGGAACUGCAUUCGAAACUGGCAGGCUAGAGUCUUGUAGAGGGGGG
rnacentral:rRNA from 1 species